rnacentral:lncRNA from 1 species
GUGAUACAGCUGAAUGCCUCUUCAAAAUGGAAUCCACAGGUUUGGACCCUCCCAGCACCCCAUAGGUACAUCUGCUCCUGGAGCCACUUCAUGUGUAUCUUCUGAUUCGCACAGCUUUAUCUUUAGUAUCUUCAUUUUAACAUAAAAUCCAUCCACGAUGUCACCAGUGCAUUUAGGAAGAAAAUUAAGCCUCAAUGUCUCCAAUGGAACAGAAGUUUGGCUAUCCAGAUACAAGGGAAGCAGCCUCAAAACUGCGGUAAUUCUUUGAUCUGGCAUGAGUAAGGGUGAAGUCCAACAUGCACAUGGCUGUUCACAGGGCUGAACCCCUCUCCAAAUGUCCUCCUCAGCAAAUGCAGUGGUUGAGGCCAUGAAUAAAAGAUCUCCACUGGGCUCAGUGCUCUGCCCAGGCUCAGUUCAUUUCUACUUACUGAUUAUUACUCACCGAAUGUAAAGUCUGUAGAAGUCUAA